rnacentral:lncRNA from 1 species
GGGAGCAUAACAGAACCAUUUGCAUUGACUGACUGACACAAACUUGUGCUAUUUUUUUUUUUGUAGAAACAAGCUCCGGGAAUCAAGGAACGCCAUAUCAUCCGCUGACAUCAGUGAUGAAGUCCAACUUGGGUUACCUGGAGAGGCAUUCAACUUCAGCCAGUGCCAGAACAAGGUGAUAGUUGAUGAAGGUGCUGGUCUGACUGGUGAUGUUUCAGCAGUUGAGCAGUUCAUCCGCGAGUAUGUGAAGCCGUAGAGUCAUCUUUCACCCCAUCGUCAUAGUAGUGACUAAUGUUUCUGCAGAAGUGUAAUCUGAGCUGUGACUAAUUUUGGCCUGACGAAAGAAGGAAAAGUGGGAAACCAUCAGCAUGAUCCCUUCCCAUUAAAUCUACUGUUGUCCUGACUUGACUUUGUGAGACAUAGCAAAUUGCAUUGGUAGCUUCCUGACGAACGUUUGAGGAUUCAGAACCUGAUCUGUUAUAGAAAUAUUGUUGAACAUUAGUUGUUAUGUACUACUCCCUCCGUCCCACAAUAUAAGACGGAUUUGCAAGUUGUUUUAGCUUGCAAAAAACAUCUUACACUGUGGGCGGAGGGAGUAGGUUUUAUUUCAUUCUUGUCCCUAGUCACAUCCUUUUUUGGGCAGGAUAGUAGAACAGCUCGAUGGUGUUCUUUGUGUGCCUCCCAGUCAUCGUAAUUAAAGAACAAAUAGGUGCGAAUCAAUCAAUGUAUAUUUCCUUGAGCCAUGACUUGCGAGUCAUCUACUGGCUAAUUUGGAGCAGCUGCAAUGCUAUGAAUUCAGAAUUGUAUGGUGUGGCUUCGUGCUUAACAUUUAUAUGGACAUGCCUGUGGAAAGUUUUGCUCUUGAACUACUGUUCCAAUCAGAUUAGCUGGAAGUUUUUGUGAAUUUUGGUUUAAUAUAUACUUAAAUUUGCAAAUAAUUUAUACUUAUACGCCGGAGAUACGACGAUUUUUUGGGGACGCUCAAGGACUUUUGCGGUUCGGGUGUUGUCUUUGGUGGUGGUUUUUUUAGCAUCAGUACAGGCACAAGCGCUCAUAUACACGCGCAUACACUCAUCCCUAUGAACGCAUACACGCACACCCUACCCCUAUGAGCACCUCCGAGAGACUGAGCCGACAUAUCACUGUCCACCUAACCAUCUCAACCACAGGUUGGUUCAUGUCUUUGAUGGUGGUUAGAGUGUUGUUGUUGCUGCGAGUAUUUCAUCAUUACAAUAGGGUCUUUGUUUAUAUUAUUUUUUUGUUCUUGGCUGUGUGCAUCGUCUUUCGGUAUCUUGUUGGUGCAGAAGCUGGAUGUAAUUGGUAUCUUCGUGAUAUUAAUAUAUUCCACUUUAAAAAAAGAGGUAAAUACACCCGAAGUCAUAGAACUUGCACACGAUGGUCAGUUUGGUGCACAAACUUAUAAAAUACAUGUUUCCGGUCAUCAAACUUGUACAAGCGUUCAUAUACGAUCAUAUUUCAUAUACACGGACGUAUUCAUAGGCUAUGUGGCAUUCCAGUGUGGCCAAGGCCCAUUGUCAUUUGCUGUAGCAUGUAGAUUUGCAGAGAAGCCUUUGGCUUUUUUUAUUUUCGUAUUAAGCCUCUAAAAAUAAAAUGGAAAAACAAGCGAUGUGGGGUCUUGAAGCUGCAACGUGUCCUAGUAGUCACACGGACAACCACCAAACUACUGAUCAUUCAUGUCUAUGUAGCAUGACUAAUUUCUGUAUCAUAUAAACAUUGACUGAAAAUAAUUUUUACAAGAAAUGUAACACGGAAAAAAUGAGCACCGUGGCUCGACCAUGUGACCUUGUACUCAAGGUUAACUAACAUUACCACCGACAACACAACACGUCCAGAUGUAAGAAAACAAUUUAUAUUCUUGUGUCUGUGACAUUCAAAAAAUAUUUAUGUGUUACAAAAAAGGUACGCAGCAUUUUAAAAGUUUCAAAAACUUGUAUUUGGAAAAAUGUUAAUCAACACAACACGUCCAUAUUAACAUUUUUUCAAAUACAAGUUUUGAAACUUAUGUGUAUUGAAACAUAUACUCCAUGUGAUACAUAUAUGUUUUGAUGUUUUAAAUACUCCAGUAUACAUCUAUGUUUUGAUACACAUAUAUUUUAAAUACUCCAGUAUACAUCUAUGUUUGGAGUAUUUAAAAAAUAUAUGCUUAAUACUUUUUAAGUGUAUGAUUGGCAUUUUUUUCAAAUACAAGUUUUGAAAAGUUUUGAAACUUUUUUCAACUAUGUUUUUAACAUUUUCGGAUGGUGCGAAACAUUUUAAAGCUACACAAACUGUUUUAUACAUCGUAUAGGCAUUUAAAAAUUGUCAUGACCAGUUUUUUUGGAAUGCAUGAACAUUUUUAAAAUGCAACGUAUCAUUUUUAAUUACGCAAAUGUGGUUUACAAUGUUUACUUUUUUUAAAUGUCACACACCUUUUUUUGUAACACAUAAACAUUUAUUAAAUAUCACAAACACAAUAAUAUAAUUUUUUUUCUUACAUAGAACAAGAAGGAAUAACAACAUGAAAAAUAUUUGUCCCAUUUGAUAUGUUGUGUUGUCGAAGCCCGGUGGUAAUCUUAGUUAACGUUGACCAUGAGGUCACAUAGUCGAGCCAUGGUGCUCCCUUUUUUGGGGUUACAUUUCUUGCAAAAUUGAUUUUUCGGCCGUGUUUAUAUGAUAUAAAAACUAUUCGUGAUAUCUAGACAUGAAUGGUCAUUGGUUUGGCGGUUGUUAACCCAAGCCUAGUAAGGACACGUUCCUAGUUUGUAACCGAACCAUCCCUUAUUUUUCCAUUUUAUUUUAGGGGCUUUAUACGUAAAUAAAAAAAAAUUUUAUUUUAGGGGCUUAAUAAUUUAAAAAAUAGGUGCAUAAUACAUAAAUAUAGAAAAAGCCUACAGAUCUACCAUGCGUGGUGGGCUUACAGUGGGCCCUGGCCAUGCUGGUAUGCCACAUAGGCCAUAGAUACAUCUGCAUACAUGGAAUGCGACCGUAUAUGAACGUUUGUGCAAGUUUGAUGACCAGAAACACGUAUUUUAUAACUUUGUGCACCAAACUGACCGUCACGUGCAAGUUCUAUGACUCCUGGUGUAUUUACCUCUUAAAAAAACCCCAAAGUCGAGUUAUUCCAAAAAAAAUUCAAGUUCACGUGAAGACUUACAUUUAAGACCAGAGAAUAAUAAAAAAAUGCAUAAAAAGGACAGAAAGGAAAAGGCCCACCACAUUCGACUUGCUCUCCAAGCGAAGCAGCCCCGGGGAUCCGCGGUCAGCGUUGAAAAGGGGACGGUGAGAAAAAAAAACAGAAGAGAAAGUGUUCAGCAACCUGAAGCAGAGGGGAAGGAACAAGAAAGGGAAACCCAGACCUGUGCAGAACCGCCACCUCGCCGCGAGGGAGUAAAGGAAGAAAAAAAAAAUGCUCGCCCGCACCCUCGUCGCCCGCCUCCGCCCCCGCCUCGCCCCGUCGCUCGCCGGCCUCGGCGGCCGCGCGUCGGCGGGCGCCGCCGCCGCCGCCACCGACAUCGUCGUCGACGAGGACGCGCCGCGGCCCCUCGGGCCGCCCGUGCCGGCCGGGGUCGGGGCCGCCGCCGUCGCGGCCACCGUGCCCACCGUCCUGCAGCCGCGCGUGCUCAUCUACGACGGCGUCUGCCACCUCUGCCACCGCGGUGAGCGCACGCGGCCCAGACCUAGGACACACGCUCCUCGAUUCCUCAUUCCUGGGCACCAUUUGGGCUCGAACCGUGGCCUGAUUUGGGCCGAGCGAUUCGCGUUCGACGGUACUGCUUUGCUGCGCCUGGGAAUCGCUUGUGAUGUUGAACUGUUCGCGGUUUUUGCAAUGCAGGGGUGAAGUGGGUGUUCAGGACGGACAAGCACGCCAAGAUCAGGUUCUGCUGCCUGCAGUCCAAGGCCGCGGAGCCGUACCUGAGGCUGGUGGGCAUGGACCGGGAGGACGUGCUCCGCCGCGUUCUCUUCAUCGAGGGCCCUGAGGCCUACUACGAGGGCUCCACUGGUUAGUAUCCUCCUCCUUCAGAUUCAGAGCAGGCUUUUCUUGGUAAGUGUGUCCUGUCAAGAUUUUUCUGACAGGUUACUAGCAAUGUGAUGCUGAGGUGUUUUCAUUUUUCGGUGCUGAGAAUAGUAGCAGGUAGCUUCACCUGAGAUGGAAUUCUUGCUUUAAGGGUGAAUUCCUGUCAUUUUCUGCAGAAUGCUAACACGAGUCCACUUGAAUCCUUAGAGUUGGUUUCUAUUUCAGUUAUCUACUAGUAGAGUAUGAAAUAUGGUAGUAUUUGUCAUAUCUAAUGAAUUAGGAGCCAAUUACCUUGCCCUUGUUGUUUCUUAUGAGUCAGGGCACUUGCAGAAUUAAUCUUUCGAUAGGCUUGUGAAGGAUAGGGAAGCACCUUACCUAUCAUUGAACCCAUCUAUACUUCAGCUUGUUUUGCUGAACUUAUUUAUGCUAUUGUUUGGCCCAUCCCUUGGUCAACCAAACGUUAUUGCAGUGUUAAACUGUUGUUGCAAUUGUGUAAAAUUUGAGAUAUGUAAAUACUUAAUUAAUUUAUUUUGUAGUUUAAUCAGUCCUUGAGGCAUCGGAAAUCUGAAAGUAUACAAAUAGUUUCAGAUUUCCAUAUGCUUGUUGCAAAUUAUAAACAAGAGCUAUGUGGGAUAUUACUGCACUGAACUGAAAAACAUACUCAGUUCAGCAAAAACAAUUCGAGUACAAUUAUUCCAUGGCAGUUGAUCUCUUGGUUGUCAUGGCACUGAACAUUCUUAACAUUUUUGGCUUGCAGCUGCGCUGAAAGUUGCAUCAUACCUGCCUCUUCCCUACUCGGCGCUGAGCUCCUUGCUGAUCAUCCCCGUCCCACUGCGUGACGCAGCCUACGAUUACAUUGCAAGGAAUCGGUACGACUGGUUCGGCAAAGAUGACAAGUGCCUGGUGAUCAAGGACCGGGAGCUUCUCGAGCGUUUCAUCGACAGGGAGGAAAUGCUCGGUGGCGGUCCCAGCAACAGUUCUUAUUGAUCACAGCUGUUGCUGCCGCUGUUUGCUUCUCGGUAGGUGUAGGUAGAGGAGAUGUAAGUAAUCUUCACAAUUAUGUAGGUGAUUGUGGUUAGUUUGACUUGAAGCCUGGAACUUGAGCUCCGUUUUCAGUAAGUAGCUAAAAGUGCUGGCUGGAAUGCAGCAUAUAUCGCAACAUCGGUCAGAUGUUCCCACUUUGCGUGCUAACUUUUAGAUCCGGUUAACUUCCAAGGAAGGGGAUAGUUUUUGGAUCUGGAUUAUCUUACAGUGCAACAGGCUUUCAAAUGCCCUGGGCUUGUCAACAUUCUCACGAUGUGCUUGUGACAUUUUGCCUGCAACUUUACUCUGUAUUAAGUACUUUGAAAUGCAUUUCUUUCUUGUUAAAUUCCAGAAAAGCACCAUCUUAUAUGGCCAUGUAGUUGCAGAAAACCAUGUCUCACAAAGAGAAAUCACAAGUGUCCAUUGUGAAGGCAAAGCGGUUGUGUAUAACAAAAUAGUUACAGACUUGUCCCUAGAUUCAUGUGCCACGACGAACAUUCCAGCUACUGAUCUACAAUACAACACAGAACAACAAAAUAUAUACGAUCCCGCAAAUCUACGUUUGCUGCACACAGGUUUGGAAACAGCUACCAGUGGGCCUGUGGUACAAAGGAGAACAAAACUACACAGGUCUGGGAAAGCUACAUUCUUCUUCAGAGCUAUAGAUUUCGUUCAUGAGGCUCCAAGUACGGGAACCCGAGUGUGUCGAACACAUCCUUCUCCUCGUGGCAGUUAACUAUAGCUUCUGAUCUCCCCGCCUGUGAAAUUCACGAUAAACGAUGAAAUGCCGACAGAGAAAUGAAGGAAGACAGAAUUGUAAUGACCGACGAACAAGUGUGUGUGCUUACGCGCUUUCCACCACUGCUCUGUGUAGCAAGAUACAAACCAGUGUCAUCAAGCACGUAGCCCUUGGAUUCUGCUAGUAUUCUCAAUCUGCACGUUGUAAUUGUACAAGUUAUUCCAAAAGAAUAAAGUCGGAUUUUCAUAACCAUGGCAUGACGUAUGCAUAGAGCUCGAAUUUAUACCGUCGAUUUAGAACAUCAUUUCCAGUCCAGGCUAGCAGCCCGGAUGCAUACCUGUUCCUUGGGUAUACCUGCCAACACCAAAAGGCAGACAGCGAUACAAAAUGAAUUAUGGUUUUCAGUUCCAAAAGAAACAAAUCGUGCUAACUGAAGAAUAAAAACGUCAAUAUAACUGAAUGUAUCCCUACUGGAAUAGUGGAAGCGCUCCAUACCUUGAGAUCAAUGCGAUGCCGCAGCUCACGUCCAGGAUAUGUGCAAAGACCGAAAUAUGUGUCAACCCCGCUGUCAGUUCCCUGCAUUUCAGACCUUCUUAACACACUUCUUCAGGAAGUUUAGAAAAGACCUUAUCAGAUACUAUAACUUUUUACUUUUUUAUCACCACAUUGUUUUUUCGGAUUAUUACUUAUAUGCUAUCUCUUCCAUAUAAUAUAUCUUCCCAAAUUCUGUGGAACUGGUGGCUACAUACCUCAAUACUGUUUAUGCUGAAGAUAAGAUCCUCCCUUAAAAAAUUAAUGUCCUUCAGCCUCUGAACAAACUUCGGCAGGAAACCUACAUGACUGCAAAGAAUUGUAGAGUCGAAUCACAACUUCUUGUACUACCAAACUGUAAUUGCAUAAAUACGAAUUGCCAUCCUUAUAGCGGAGAAUAUGUCAUCAAUCUAAACUUGCAAGUUACAAGAAUGAGAUAACAAUGUUGUAUAACUAAACUGCUCCUCAGACUGAUUGUGAGGUUCUGUCUUAUCCUCUUUUUUUAUUUUCCUAGCUAGUGUUGAAUUCAAUAGAAUAUUAUAGCUUACACUGAGUAGACCAUAGUAGCAUACAUUCUCCCGAUAUGUAAAUAUAAAAUCAUUAGACAAGGUCUGUCCGGUUCUAAACCUGGUUGCACAUGCUUUGAAGUAUACCUUUUACCAUCAUCAUGAGUAAUUACAAUAUCCAUGUCGCCGCAAGAUGAUUUUCCACGUCUGUAUGAUCCUCCGCAUACAAUUAUCACCUUCAAAUAAUAAUCACACAUGACGAAUUUAGAAAUAACCAUAGGAAAUUGAUUGGCCUUAACAGCUUAUGUGUGUUCUGCACAAAUAGUUCCUCAAAAUGGUCUCUGUAACUCACUCCAGGCAAGAUAUCCUUCCCAACAUCUUGCAAAAGCUUCUCCAUCUCACUGACCUAGAGAAGAAAAGAAUGUAAUGUGAGCUGUGUUGCAUGGCUGAGUCAAAAAUCUAUUAACUAAUGGAAAACAAGUCCACGAAUUACAUACCUCAUGCCGAGGGAUUCUUUGUCUGAUAUCAUCAAAGAAUUUUAAGCCAGUCCUUUGAGCAUAUGUAAGUGAGUCAUCUUUCCGAAGGUCAUCAAGAGUACGGUGUCCUUUAUCAUAUAACUUAAGAGCAGUUGCAGGACCAACACCCCAAACUUCACCGAAUAGGCUGACAGUCCGUACCUUCAAAAUUAUGCAAAUCUAUUAUCAGGACAUGCAAUUGAAUAAUGCUUAAGAAUGUAGUCCUAGCUCAUAAUUAGGUUACCUUUUCAUCAUUCUCAAAGUGUUCCAGUUUGGAAAGCUUCCCUGUUGUCACUAUUUCAUUAAUCUGUGAAUCAAAUGAUGAAUGCAAAAUCAAUCUUUUCUUGGAACUUCUAUGUUCAAAUUCCAUUUGGCCCAUACUACAACUGUUCAGCAUCAUCUGGCACCUUUAGGUUUUAUGCUAUCAGCGAAAAAUGGCAACAGUUCUUUCCAGUAAAAAAGACAAAGAAAUUAAGCCCAUCAUAUUAUUAUGAAACAGGAAGGAGUAUUAGUUUCUUUUACAUUGGAGUCCAAAAUACACUUGACGGCUUGUUAAAAUGUUGAAAGAGUUGCGCACUACACUAGCAAUCACCAACAAACAGCAAGAAAAAUGAUAGAAUGAGACAUACAUACAUGGUCUUUCAAAGAUUUCCCAAUGGUGGGGAGGUUUUUAACUUGGUCGCCACUUUCUAUUUUGAAUGGCAGUUUCUCAAUUACGGGAAUGGCCUUGUAAUAGCUAAAUGAUCUCCGGUCAUCUCCCAUGGCUUCAAGAGAAACAUAAAAUUUCACAACAAUCAACAAAAUGAUGAGAACAUUACUUUGUACAAUGUGUCAAUGUCCUUUACCUCUAUAUAUGUUGAUAAGUUUUCCGAAAAUCUCAGUGAUGUUCCUGUUGAGGUCUGGUGGAGCAUAUGUUGUGGGUUCCCCAGAAGAAGCUUCCUGGUUGUAUGACUAAUGAAUUAGCAUGCAAAGCAGAAAACCCCAUCUAUGCCAAAAUGAGAUAAAGCCCAGAACUGAGAAGUGAAGACUUUCAAGUUUGCACACUCCAUGGAUGAAAACUUGAUUAGAUAUAAAGUUGCUUGCCAAUGGGCAACAGGGUUGAAUUCCAAUUAUUCAACAGACAUAAGUACAAUCUAUAGCUCAAAGUUCAUUAGAAAUAAUAUUCUUCUUUUUUGAUGGCUCACCGUGUAUAAACUUUGACAAACUAUAGAAGAAUAUGUGUGUCAAAAUAAGCUAAUUUAAGCUUUAGAGAAAAGAUGGUUCAGGCACAUUGGUUUAUCAGGUCAUGCUUAUACCUCAAUAUCAAGAGACCCUACGGUGUCCUUGGUAUCCCCAGAGCUAGUCUGGCUAUGUGCAAGCUGGCCAGGCCCCUUUUGGACACCAGAACCAUCAUGCACAUGUGUACUGGCGUCUUGAUGCUCUCCGGUAGCUAGCUCUUUCUUCACACCCUGUCCACCAGUUCCUUUGUGAUUCUCAGGAUCCUCGGAUGACAUUUUGCUCCUCUUCGCGGGAUUGGACGCGCCUGUACCUCCGGCACCAGCUGCCUUUUUGGGUUUAAAUUCCUCUUCGUAGUUGAUGGUGAACUUGUGCUCGGGCAGCCUCUCGCCAGACUUGAGGCAUUCCUCCAGCCAAUCGAAGGACACAACACUCUGCGAUGAAAAUCCAAUGCUCGGGUGAAUACAGGCACUCGCUGCAGCCUCUCAGAAGGCUUCCCAUACUAGCAGGGAUAUUUGACACCCACAUUACUUUGGCAAGUGCCCCAAAGGACUAAUAGCAAAACUUUCACAGCUCAAUGCAGAUGCACGAUUGCGCAUAGGAGAGAGUGGAGAGACUAGGGUUAUACGGAGCCGAAGGGGGCCGGAGAGAGCGGCUAGUAUUACCCCCUGGAAACGGUGGAGCCAGUCGGCGGUGAGCUCCCGGAGCAGCGCCUUGGCGUCGGCGGCGAGCACGUGGUUGAUCCUGGCGCCCUUGGCGUCGGCGUCCUUCUUCUCGAGCCGGCCCCCCAUCUGCACCAGCUUCUGCUUCCACACCUGCGAGGGCCCGCCGCAAUCCAAAAAAACCUAAGCAAGAAUGGAAGGCGAAUCGGAGGGGCGGCGGAAGGGGGGGAGAAGCGGCGACCUCGAGGCGGCGGGACUGCACGCCGUGGGGCACGAAGAAGGCGGAGACGCCGCGGAAUAUCCCCUCGGCGUCCCUCGGCGGCUCCGCCGGCUUCCGCUUCGGCGCCAUCGGAGCUCUCCUCGCUCCCUCCCUCCCUCCCUCCGUCGCCGCUGGGGUUUUGAGGUUUUAGGUUGUUCUAGCACUUUUUCCUUAUGGAAGGUUGUUCUGAAUAUCUAUCUGGCCACAGCACAUCUGCAUGAGGGCAUACAUUGCUGCUGAGCUUCGAGUCUUCGACCACAGGACAGAGCAAACACUCAAAUAUCUAUCUAUCUAGCCAUAGCACACAGGCAAAGCAAUUCUGAAACAGCUCAGGUUCAGCAAGCACAAACAAAUCUGAACCAAACUGUCAUGUACAUCAUCUGAUAUACAACAAAAAUAUGAGCAACAAACCAAACCACACCAACAGAAAUAUCUGUCGUAGAAAGGUAAAAGGCCACAAUGCUGCCCUCCUCCUAAUGUGGGGAGGGGCUUAUUGCUUGUGAGUGAGUAAACCAAGUAAAUACCCUCCCUAUCCUUCUCUCUUUUCUCCCUCAAAUUUUACAACUCAAGCAUUGUACAGACAAAAACAAAUAAAAAUGGCACGCAAAACUAUCAAACAACGGUAGUAUCGAUCCUUCUCCCGGUUAAAAACUGUUUACUGAAGCUCACUAACAGGGAUGUCUGUGCUCGGCUAACCACUGUCCCGGUGAGCUCAGGCUGAUGUGUUUGUCUCUGUGGCUGGUGAGGGUUUGUCGGUGGCCGAGUCCAUGUCGUCGUGCGAUGGCGCCUCGAUGACAGCAUCGUCGUGCGACGGCUUCUCGCUGGCUGCGCCUUCUUCCUCUUCCUCUGAAGGUUUGUCAGUGACUGGCUUCUCAAGAGACGUGAUAUCCUCUGAUGACUUCACAGUGGCGUCUUCUUUCUCCUCCGAUGGUUUCUCGAUAUCUGUUCUGUCGUUUGAUGGCUCAGCACUGGCUUCAUCUUCCACUGAUGGUUUGUCGGUGACUGGCUCCUCAACAGCCAUGCUGUCCUCUGAUGGCUUAUCAAGAUCCACUCUCUCGUCUGAUGGCUCAGCACCCACCUUGUCUUCCUCUGAAGGUUUGUCAGCGGUUGGUUUCUCAAGAGCCACGCUGUCCUCUACUGGCUUCAUAGCAUCAUCUUUUUCCUCUGAUGGCUUCUCGAGAUCCACUGUGUUGUUUGAUGGCUCAGCACUCACCUCAUCUUCCUCCGAAGGAUUCUUAAGAGCUGCAUUGUCUUCUGCUGGCUCCACACCUACAUCACCUUCAUCUGAUGGCUUCUCAGGAGUAACGGCAUCCUCUGAUGGCUUCUCGGGAGCUGAGCUGUCCUCUGAUAUCUCAACGAUGGCCUCACCGACAUAUGUGGGUUCUUCGACAGAUGUGGCGCUUUCUGGUGUUGUAUCUAAUGCAAUGCUUUGAGGCAGUGUCUCAUCAGAAAUUUCACGCUGUGCAGGUUCCUCGGUGGCAGUGCUGAUCUUUGGAGUGCUUUCAGGCAGUGUUUCAGUAGCUAAGCUACUUUCUGAUGGAUUAUCAGUAACAACGUUAGUCUCAGUUUCGAGUGGCUUCUCAAUAGAUACAUCCUUUUGAGGUUCCAAUGGCUGAUCAGUUAAAUUAUGAGGAGCUGCAUCCAUUUGACGUUCUGAUCGCUCCUCAGGCUCUGAUGGCUGUCCGGAUGAUUCAACAGCAGCUGCAUCACCUUGAGACUCAGAUAGCUUCUCAGUAGACACGUUACUUUGAUGGACUACUGGUUCCUCCACUGAUGCGUCACUUUGAGGUUCUGGUAGCUGCUCAGCCGACUGAUCAGCAGUUGCAUCUGUUUGUGGUUCUGAUAACUUCACGGCAGCUGUGUCAAAUUGAAGCUGCAAUGACUCCUCAGCAAUUGCAUCACUACUAGGCUCUGUUUGAUCCUUGUCAUCUGCUUCAUGCUGAGAUUCCAAUGGCUGCUCUGUAGAUGCAUCUUUUUGUUGUUGCAAUGGUUGCUCCACUGGAACCUCUGCCGGUGCAACACUUUGAGAUUCUGAUGACUGCUCAAUGCCUGCAUCAUUUUUAGAUUCCAUUAUCUGGUCAGUUGCCUCUUGAGGAACCACAGCGUCUUGGGAUUCCAACGUCUGCUCAACAGUUAGCUUACUUUGAGACUCUGACAAGUUCUCACCAGAUGCAGCCCCAUCUUGCUCUGAUGGAUCCUUCGUCAGUUCGGCAGAAGAGGCAUCAAUUUGAGGCUCUGGUAUCUUCUUGAGGGAGACAUCAUCUUGUGUCAUCAGGUCCCUUUGUGGUGUAGCAUCAGCAAUAUCUUCACUUUGAAGUUGUUUCUCAACAAUAUCUUCAGUCUGAAGUUGCUCCUUGGAAGAUUCAUUCAUUUGUAAUGGCUUCUCUUGAGAACUUUCUUGUGAUGGCUUCCCGGUGAUCGAAGCUUUUCGAGGUGCCUUUUCUUGAGAACUUCCUUGUGAUGGCUUCUCGGCGGUUGCAGCAAUUUGAGGUGUCUUUGCCUCAGAUGGCUUCUCUUGAGAACUUUCUUGUGAUGGCUUCUCGAUGAUCGCAGCAGUUUGAGGUGCCUUUUCUUGAGAUGGCUUCUCUUGAGAACUUUCUUCCGAUCGCUUCUUGGUGAUCACAGUGACUUGAGGUGUCUUUUCUUGUAAUGGUUUCUCUUGAGAACUUUCUUGUGAUGGCUUCUCGAUCACUGCCUUGGUUUGCAAUGCUUUAUUGGUAGCCAUAUCACUCGCUGCCAGAUUUUUUGGAGUUGUACUUCUUUGCCAUGACUUCUUCACAGCCAUGUUGCUCGGGGCUGGCUUCGUGACGGUCACAUUGCUUUGUGUUGUUGUCACAGCUGCUGCUGCACUGCUUUGUGAUGGCUUCUCAAACGGCGUGUUACGCUUCCACUGCCGUUUGAUCGCUCCAGUACUUUCAGUUUUCUUUGCAUCAACUACACUACUCUGGGGUUGCUUCUCGGUUCUCGUGUUGAAUUGCCAUGGCUUUUUCACUACUACUGCAGUGUCCUCCGAAGGCUUCACAUCAUCUGCAUUAGUUUGUUGAGGUUCCUCACUGGGCUGCUGUAGCACAGCUGCAUUAGUUUGUUGAGGUUCCUCACUGGGCUGCUGUAGCACAGCUGCAUCGGUUUGUGGAGGUUCCUCACUGGGCUGCUGUAGAACAGUAACCACUGUACUGGUUUCCACUGGUUUCAUAUCAACCUCACUGCUCUGCAGAGAUUUCUCACUGGCUAUUCUGCGGCCCCAUGGUCUUUUAAUUGUUGUGCUCCUAUCUAAUGGCUUUGUGUCACUCGUCGGUGACGGCUUCUCGGUUGGUCCACUGUUUUGUUUCUGGUUCUCAGCAACCACAGGGCGUUGCCAUGUUUUUUUGACCACUUUGCCGCUUUCUGAUGGCUUCACAUCAUCUGCACUGGUUGAUGCUGGCUUAUCCGAUGGUAACAUGCUCUGCUGUGGGUUCUCAGUAGCUACACUGUGCUGCCAUGACUUUUUUACCCCUGUGCUGCUGUCCGACGGUUUCCCAUUAGACCCAUUACUGGAUGACGGCUUCUCAAUGGCUGCAUCGCUCGGUGAUGGCUUUUCAGUUGAUGCACUAAUCACUGACGGCUUAUUUGUGGGAAGACUGCGUUGCCAUGGUUUUCUUAUGGCCGCACUGCUUCCUGAUGGCUUAGUAUCAACCACACUGCUCUGAUGUGGCUUCUCGGCACUGCUUUCAAAUGGCUUAUUGUUAACUACAGGACUCUUUGACUCACUCUCAGUAACACUUUCACUUUCUGCUGACUUCUCGACUGUGCUUUCUGAUGGUUUAGGAACAUCAAUGCUACUCUGCAAUGGGUUUUCAGCUGCAACAUCAUUUUGGGAUGGUUUGUCAGCUGUGAGCUCAUUUUCUGAGGUCUUCUCACCGAUUUCAUCACCUUGACCUGGCUUGUUGGUGGCUUCUCCAGUUUCUGGUAGUUUCUCGACAGCCACUUUUGCAUUUACAGUGUUCUCCUCGAACUGACUGAAGUUUCCCUUGACCAUAAACAACUGAGAAUGGUGGGUCUUGCAAUAAAGUUUGCCUUCAUGCGUGACAUUGUUGGAUGGGCUGAGUGUACAACCACCAUGGGUGCAACGGAAGCAUGAUUUAUGAUACGCGCCCCCGUUAAGAUCAACCUGAAAGAAAUUAGUUGAAUCAAAAACAAGUUCAAUAAGGUAAAUACAGGAAGUGAUAGAAUGAGAAAGGAAAGACAUUCAAAGAAAAAAUAUUGCUAAAAAUGCAAACAUUAUAGGCAUUUAUUGGAUCUGCCAUAGAUGCUGAUGAUAAUUAGAUGUCACUUCUGCAGCUGUGCACUAUGUUAUAAGAAGGCGUUAAAGACCCAACACAUACUAUUGGAUUGGUAUAACAUCUCUUCACCAAAAAAAAAAUGAUUUGGCUCGUGGGCGAGAUAUUGAUUAGUUCUUUUUUCCUCCCUGCUACUCCCUCCGUAAACUAAUAUAAGGUUUACAGAGGGAGUACUUGCAAGUGGGAUUAGAGAACUGCAUUAGAUGUGGGAAUCUGCCAGAUCGUAAUUCUAAUAAUAAACAUGACACGUUUUAUUACAUUUGCAAUUGCCAUGAAACUAGUCUUGUCAUGAAUUAUGAAAAUUUUAGCAAGAUGACAGGACAAACGACAAUUCUUCUGUACAACUUACAGACACAGUAACUCCGGCCAUUAUAGAGAGAACCAAAUACACAGAAUACUUAUUUUUCUGGGCAGUUGAUGGUUUAAUGUGCAUUAAAGUAGCAGCCAAAGAUUAAAUAAUACUGACCUUUUCAAGAGGGUACACAGUCUUGUUACAAACUACGCACUUGUCUUGCGUGCCAACAAACAUACUAGAGAAUCUGCUGUUUUGCUGGCCCUGCAUUUUGGAAAAAUAUCAAGGAGGAAAUGGACAUACUGUUGUGUAUAUCGCAACAUAAGACAAACAAUUUCAAUACUACGAAUAUGCUUCAACCACACAAAAGGCGUGUCCUACAGAAGCUCAAUACCUUGGGUCCAUUUGAUUUUUCUGAUUUAGCUGAUCUUGUCACACCUGACAUAAUACGGAAUUGCUCCCAAAUUUAGAGAAUAGUAUGACAAAAUAAUCCUGAAAAUAAAGACAUCUGAGUGCGAAUGAUCAAGUGUUGCCUUCAGUACCUUCAAAACUUUUUUCCAAACUGCCAGUUGAUUUUAAUAUCUGGUCAUAGUGAGGUUUGCAGUACAGGACACCUUCGAUGGAAGAAUAAUUGCUAAACUGCAGAACAAACAAGAAAGAAAAGAAAAGGUUUAGUUAAAAUGUUACUUUACUUUUAUGUUUCAAAGAUGUAGCUUUAGCCACAAACAGGAAAACAUGGUACCAGUGCCAAGUAAUAUGAUGUAGCAUAAAAGAUUUAAUGCGAGCAUUUCUGCUUUCAGCAAAACAAUUAAGUUCUCAAAUAAUAGAGUAUAGACUAUGUCAAGCAUGUGGUCCGAAGGAAUAUUCAAUAAUGCAAGGAGCCCAUUUCCAAUCUAGGACUAAGAGCGCAUAUGAACUUAAAUUUGUCUUUGGCUUUAUCGGUAGUUCAUCAUGUCAACUGGCUACAUCUUUAUCAUAGCUAUAAACUGCUUUUAUGCCACUAAAAGAGAAUUACAGGGAUCAUAAAACAGAUCAGGGCUCAAGGGGUCCACUCCACCCAUGGGCAAAUCAUCACUGAACUGCAUGUGCUAUGCUGUCUUGCCCGUUUCUUUAAGGAAAGGCAAGUACAGAGAACUAAUCAUACUAAAUAGUAUGACACAUUGUGCAACGAAGAUGGACUCCUCGAAUAAAGUUAAAUGCAUAAUAUAACAUCAUGUCUUUUAUUCUAGAAGAAAAGGAAUGCCGUUAGAGAUGCCUUAAACCGCGUGGCACUCAUUACCACUCCCUGCUGAACAACCUGCAGGAUGUGAAAUGGACAAAAUCGUUGCGGUUGACAUGAACACGCAGCCUAACUUCAUAACUGGCUGUGGUUGAGAAGGAGAAACCCACACAGCAAGUACAAGCACUAACCAACGCAUCAUUCAACUGAACAAUUUGAACAGGGACAGACAAUCAUAAGCAAGCUAAUGAUGCCCAGGUACGCAUUACUAGUACUUACCUCCCAUAAAGCUCGCAAUAAUAGCCCGAAUCACGGGGGGUAAGCAUGCAAGCAUCUUAUAAAUCAUAGCGUCCGUCCUACUUUAGUACUAGCACUUUAUUUGUACCAUCAUCUGAACAGUGGAACUCUAGUUGGCUCGCAUGAUUCAUUCUGGUCAAGGGGGGAGGGAAUUGACCUGGAGGGUGCUCUUGCAGUGGUGGCAGCGGAAGCAGGGGCGGUGGUAGGCGCGGCCGUCGGCGGCGAGCUCCUCGACGGGGUACACCUUCUUGCCGCAGGAGGCGCACUUCUGCGUGGUGCCGCCCCACGCCGCCGCCAUCCCCUCCCCCUCCCCGUCCGCCUCCCCGUCGCUGACCAGCGCAGCCCCCGCGUCCCGCUCUUCUCGCCGCCUCGCGAUGGCUAGGUGCGUGUGGGAGGAGGAAGGAUCGGGGGGAGGGAGGGAGGGAGAGGAGAGGAGAAAGGAGGCAACGAUGGGGAUGAUGAUUAGUGGAGGUGAAAGCGGCGGCAGCACAGCUCAGAGCUGCGGAGGGAGGAGAGGGGGGAGGGGGAGGCUUGGCAGAGAGCAGAGAAUAACGAGCGGCAGCGCACGCAGCAGCGGAGUUGGUGCGGUGUGCGCUCCUACUUUCGUCAAAAGGGAGAGGGAUUUGCUACGCCCACCACUCCACGCUGCUGCAUAUCCAUCCGGCCAUUCGGGCGUGUGUCGUGCGGCGUUGAUGAUGAUGAUUGAGCACAAAGAAAAAAACAUUUAUGCUUGUUUUUCCUCUAGGAAUAAUAUGUGCCUUUAGGGCAUGUUCAAUGCCUAGGCGCUUGCAUGGGCGCUUAAGGAAAUACAAGAAAAGAAAAAUCAUGUAGCAGCGGUGUUAGCAUCCAGUCCUCCAACGGCAAUGACAAGGUACAGGUGCUUAACAGGACGCACUCUGUGUCAUACCUCGAAAGAAAAAACGGGCUAGCGCCUAGGGCCAGAAGUAGCGUCGACGCUAGCCUGAAUCCUGGGCUUAGCCGGGAAUAGGAAAAAACGGCCGGGAUAUUAGGCUUAACUACUGGGGAUUUGAUCCUAGCGCCCAGUCUAAGCGUCCCCGUUGUAGCUGCUCUUAGGCCGGUAAUAUGAGCAAUAUUUCCGCGCCGCAUUCAUGCUGGCCCGGAGCAGCAGGGGCUGAAUUGAUGCCGCAUUUCUUUCUUUUUUUGGAAAAGAAGGUUUGCCCUCGGUCUCUGCAUCGGAACGAUGCAUGCAACCAUCUUAAAGCAUCUCCAGUCGUUGCCUUCCUAGGAGGCAUAAAAAUUGCUCCCUGGGGGGCGAGCCGGUGAUACAAUCGGCGCUGGGGGCGGUUGGGCAUCCAGUCGUCGCCCUCAGGUCGCCCCUCAGGCGUCGAGAUUGGCCCAGUUUUCGACCCACUUUCGGCAAAUAAAGGCCUCGUAUGGGCGAGAAUCAGCCCAUAUUUGGCAUGGCUCGGCGUUCAAUUAUCAACAUAAAUAUUUUUUAUCACAUAGUUCAUCACAGAAAAUCAAAUAGUUCAACAAAAUAGUGCAACAACAAAUAGUUCAAUACAAAUUAUAUAAUUCAACAAAUAAAAACUCAUAUUUCAUCACACGUCGAGCCCGCGUCGCCCUUGAGCCUCCAUAGGUGCUCCACCAGAUCCUGCUGCAGUUGAUGAUGCACCUGUGGGUCUCGGAUCUCCUGACGCAUACUGAGGUAGGCAGUCCAGGUUGCCGGUACCUGGUGAUCAACUUCGGCUAGAGGACCCUGCCUGUAGUAUGGUUAAGUGUCAAACACUGGCUCUUCCUGCUCGCUCUUGAUGAUCAUGUUGUGGAAGGUGACACAGCAAGUCAUGAUCUCCCAUAUUUGAUCUUUCGACCAGGUCUGAGCAGGGUAGCGGACAACAGCAAAUCGAGAUUGGAGCACACCAAAAGCCCGCUCGACAUCCUUUCUGCAAGCCUCAUGCACCUUGGCAAAGUGGGACUUCUUGCCUCCUAGCACAACGUUUGAGAUAGUCUUCACAAAUGUAGACCAUCUCGGAUAGAUGCCAUCAGCUAGGUAGUACCCCUUGUUGUAGUGCCGCUCAUUGACCUCGAAGUUCACCGGAGGAGAAUGACCUUCAACAAGCUUGGCAGAGACAGGGGAACACUGCAGCACGUUGAUGUCACUGUGAGUUCCUGGCAUACCAGAGAAGGUGUGCCAAAUCCAAAGAUCCUAUGUGGCCACCGCCUCAAGUACCACACUGCAACCGCCUUUGGCGCCUUUGUACAUCCCCUGCCAAGCAAAUGGGCAGUUCUUCCAUUUCCAAUGCAUGCAGUUGAUGCUUCCAAGCAUCCCAGGAAAUCCUCUUGCUGCAUUCUGUGCUAGGAUCCGAGCAGUGUCUUUCGCAUUGGGUGUUCGCAAGUAUUGUGGUCCAAACACUGCCAUCACUGCCCGACAGAACUUGUAGAAACACUCAAUGAUGGUGGACUCGGCCAUGCGCCCAUAGCCAUCGAGUGAAUAACUGGGAGCUCCGUAUGCAAGCAUCCUCAUCGUUGUCGUGCACUUCUGGAUCGAGGUGAAUCCAAGUUUGCCGGUGCAAUCCUUCUUGCACUUGAAGUAGUUGUCAAACUCCCGGAUGGAAUUCACAAUCCCGGGGAAAGCUUUCGGCUCAUCCGAUAACGACGCCGAAAUGUUUUGUCGCCGUGCAGUGGAGCGUCGGCGAAGUAGUCGGAGUAGAGCAUGCAGUAGCCUUCAAGACGAUGCCGGUUCUUUGCUUUGAUCCGCCUCGGCGCCGAGCCACCUCGUCGCGGCUUUUCAUUGCUCGCCAGCAGGGCGGCGAGGACCAUGAGAUGUUCCUCUCCUGGACGUCGGCCUCGGCUUCCUCCUCUAGCAGCACGGCGAGCGCUUCCUCGUCGUCCAAGUCCAUCACCGAGGCAGGCAAAUCGCCGAACACCUUGCGCCCCGGUGGGCGUGUACCCGCCGCUAAACCGUCCCUCCGCGGUCAGAAACAGCGUGAAAAACGCUCAGUUGCUGGUGGAGGGGAUGCCUCGGCGAACCUCUGCUCUUUUUUGGCUGGGAUUGGCUAUCUAGCGGUGAAGGGCGGUGGGCGGCGCCGGGAUACAGCUGUUGGCGGCCGAGCGCGCGGGGGGUGGGAGGCGAGCCGAGGAAGAAAAACUUGACUUUUUGCCUGAUGGUGUGGGCCAGCCGUGCUUUUCUCUUGCGCCGAAGCCCCCGAGUGCCCCCCAGUGCGUCGGGUUCGGCCUGCGAUCGCCGGGCCAAAAAAGGGACGAAUCGGCAGAUUUCAGCGUCCUGGGGGCGCGACUGGAGCGUUUUUUCGGCGCCGGCGCCGAAAAAGUGGCCUGGGGGCCUGUUGGGGGCGCGGCUGGAGAUGCUCUUAGUCUCAAAGUAGCACAAAGUCAUAAAAGUAUUACAGCUCGUAAGCGGAGCAAAAAGUAAAAGAAAAGUGAAUGCUCAAAAUCGCAACCGGUAUGACAAUGUAAAGGACAAACUCCCUAGACUCAUAUCCUAUUAUGCGACCAUCAUCCGAACCUAUUGAACAUAGCCCGUGCUACCAUCUCGCACUGCUUGCACCCAGUAACCAAAGGCUCCCUGGAGUCCGUAAGAGUGAGUAAGGACCACGUACGGAUCCAUGCGGUAGCUCUGAAAAUGACAUGCGAGAAAGUUAAAGUAUGUUGUCUAUUAAAAAUCAUAUCAUUCCUGCAAUUCCAUAUAGCCCAUAUAAGCGCACAUAUUUCAAUCUGAAUACGAGCCGCAGUAAUAUGAUCAACCCCAGCUAACCACGUCCCAAAUAGCGAUUCAAUGUUAACUGGAGGAGUAAUGUUAAAGGCUAUAUGGAUUGUUCUCCAAAGCAAUUUCGCGAGUGGGCACUCUAUGAACAAGUGUUGUAUUGUUUCAUGAUGAUCACAAAAAUAACAACGGGAACUACCUACCGACCACCUCUUUACUAAGUUAUCUUUGGUGAGUAUCACUUGCUUGUGUACGAACCACAUAAAGAUUUUAAUGCGCAAGGGAACCUUAACCUUCCAAAUAUGUAACGAUCUCGAGAUUGGGCCAGGAUUAAUUAAAUCCAUGUAAAAAGAUUUCACCAUAAACACCCCAUUUCUAGCUAAAUUCUAGUGCAUCGAAUCGGGUUGGUCGGAUAACUGAACAUCUAUCAAUCUCCGAACCAAGUGCAUCCAGGCAUUCCAUCGCUCACCAACUAACGCACGUCUAAACUGAAUAUUCAAGGGAUUCGAUUGAAAUAUUGUGCCUACGUAAUCCUCCUUACGUUGAACAAUGUUAUAUAGGAUGGGGUAUUGUAUGGCUAGUGGUGUCUCCCCUAACCACGUAUUCUCCCAAAAUCUUGUUGACAUCUCAUUGCCAACCAAGAAUUUGACCCUACGAAAGAACAAAUCUUUCGUUCGCAUGAGUCCCUUCCAGAAUGGCGAGUCAGUUGGCCUCACGGUGACCUGGGCUAGCAUUUUCGACUGUAGAUACUUAUUGCAUAGUAUCUGUGCCCACAUACUCUCUGGCUCUGUCUCUAACAUGUAGAGACAUUUACUCAUAAGACAUUUAUUCUUAAUUUCUAGGUUUUCAAUACUGAGACCCCCUUGGUCUUUGGGUCGGCAUAAAAUAUCCCAUCGUGCGAGACGAUACUUCUUCCUGGCCUCAUUUGACUACCAGAAAAAUCGAGAUCGAAAGAAAUCAAGUCUCUUCCGCACCCCUUUCGGUACCUCGAAGAAAGAUAGUAGGAACAUAGACAUACUAGUAAGUACUGAGUUGAUCAGCACUAGCCGACCUCCAUAAGACAUUAGCUUGCCCUUCUAGCAACUAAGACUGUUUUCAAUUCGAUCUUCAAUGCACUUCCAUUCUUUAUUAGAUAACUUACAGUGAUGAAUCGGUGUGCCCAAAUAACUGAAGGGCAAAGAACCUAAUUCACACCCAAACAAUUGUCUAUAUGUGUCUUGCUCUUCUUUGGCCUUACCAAAGCAGAACAACUAGCUCUUGUGAAGUUUAUUUUUCAACUCGCUCUUGUGAAUUGAUGCCGCGUGAUGUGACCGGACGGUAGGCCUGACGCAACUAGAUGGGUGUCGAUGCUUUAAAGCGGGCGUGUCGUCCCGAGAAACCAACCUCGGACGCUGCGUCGCAUUGAAGCGGGUUGACCGUCCGUUCACCUGGCUUGGUUGUGCCUAUUCAAUACAUGCUCCAACAACGUCCACAUCCACACCUUCGCGUUCAACUGCUUCUCCAAACUCCUCCUCUCCUCAUCCACACCAUGCCCAAGUUGUACUUCUUUGUAUCGACAGGCAGCAACGAUGGCGACGAAUCUUGGCGUUGUCGUCAUUGCUCUUCGAGGUCCUCGGGUUCCACGGCUGUCGGCUCCCCCGACAAGGAGGAGAUCAUCAUCAUCAUCCGCUCCGUCAGCAGUCGCACCCCCUCUCAUAGGCCGCGGGGACGGGCGAGGAGUUCGUCCAUCAGAUCGAGUUGCUGACAUAACAGUUGCUCCAGAAACAUGGCCUAAUGCCCCCUCGCUGCCGCCUGCCGUCAAGGAGGAGCUGCACUCCCCAUUGUGCUACCGCGUCCAGCAAGAGCUGGUGUCGCCUCUCUGCCACAUGGAGGAGGAGACGGCGUCCCCCCCCCAACACAACCGCGACAUCCAAAUCAUGCUCCGCAUGAAGGAGAAGCCACGCAUCCCCCAACACAAUUGUGGCAUCCAAACCGUGCUUCGCAUGAAGGAGAAGCCACACACCCCCCACACAAAGGACGUGAAGGAGGAAUCGAUGCCCCCUCGCAACCGUGACAUCCAAAUUUACCGUACAGGACAUAUCUGGUUGUUUACAUACCAUGAAAUACAUGAUUAAUUUCAAAAUGCAGGUCUGAAUGAAACCUCAAGUGUUUAUUUUUCUCAUCAAUAUUUCAUGAUACUAAUUCUUACUUAGAACUCUUUUUAUGUGACCUCAGCUUUUUCAUACCAAACAACUUUAGUAUCUUGUCAAUAUAUAUUUUGGCUAAGCCAUGUUAGUAACUACUAUCUCCAUAGAUUAUAAUGCCUAAUACCAAGGCUAUCUUGCCUAAAUACUACAUCGAAAAACUACUUUCAAUGAAGUCCUAAUUUGUGUCAAUAAAUUUACAUAAUUAUCUAUCAAGGAUGUGUCAUGCGCAUGAAGGAAAUAUGCCCUAGAGGCAAUAAUAAAGUUGUUAUUUUAUUUCCUUAUAUCAUGAUAAAUGUCUGUUAUUCAUGCUAGAAUUGUAUUAACCGGAAACUUGAUACAUGUGUGGAUACAUAGACAAAACACCGUGUCCCUAGUAAGCCAGUACUAGACUAGCUCGUUAAUCAAAGAUGGUUAAGUUUCCUAACCAUAGACAUGUGUUGUCAUUUGAUGAACGGGAUCACAUCAUUAGGAGAAUGAUGUGAAUGAUAAGACCCAUCCGUUAGCUUAGCAUAUUGAUCGUUCAGUUUUAUUGCUAUUGCUUUCUUCAUGUCAUAUACAUAUUCCUUUGACUAUGAGAUUAUGGAACUCCCGGAUACGGGAGGAAUACCUUGUGUGCUAUCAAAUGUCAUAGCGUAACUGGGUGACUAUAAAGAUGCUCUACAGGUAUCUCCGAAGGUGUUUGUUGGGUUGUCAUAGAUCGAGAUUAGAUUUGUCACUCUGAGUAUCGGAGAGGUAUCUCUGGGCCCUCUCGGUAAUGCACAUCAUAAUAAGCCUCGCAAGCAAUGUAACUAAUGAGUUAGUUACGGGAUGAUGCAUUACGGAACGAGUAAAGAGACUUGCCGGUAACGAGAUUGAACUAGGUAUGAAGAAACCAACGAUCAAAUCUCGGGCAAGUAACAUACCGAUAGACAAAGAGAAUUACGUAUGUUGUCAUAAGGUUCGACCGAUAAAGAUCUUCGUAGAAUAUGUAGGACCCAAUAUGAGCAUCUAGGUUCCGCUAUUGGUUAUUGGCCAGAGAGGUGUCUCGAUCAUGUCUACAUAGUUCUCGAACCUGUAGGGUCCGCACGCUUAACGUUCGUUGACGAUAUAGUACUAUAUGAGUUAUGUAUGUUGGUGACCGAAUGUUGUUCGGAUUCCUGGAUAAGAUCACAGACAUGACAAGGAGCUCUGGAAUGGUCCGGAGGUAAAGAUUGAUAUAUAGGAUGAUAUGGUUCGGCCAAGGGGUAAAGCCCACGAGGCUUUAGGUCGAUGCAAAAGGAGUUUUGCGGAGGCCAGGGGGCCAAACGCCGGAGACCCUAGCGUAUGGCCCUGGGCCAGGCGGCGAGGCCCAUGGAGUCUGGGCCAGACACCAAGGACCGUGGCAUCUGGUCCUGGAAGUCCGAGAAGGACUCUUCCUUGCGGGUAAAACCGACUUUGAGGAGGCUUUUACUCCAAGUUUCGACCCCAGGGCUCAACGUAUAAAUAGAGGGGCAACAUAUAAAUAGAGGGGCAGGGCUAGCACCUGGAACACAUCAAGAAUCACCAAGCCCGUGUGCCGGCAACCCCGUCCCCUCUAGUUUAUCCUCCAUCAUAGUUUCCGUUGUGCUUGGCGAAGCCCUCCAGAGAUUGUUCUUCACCAACACUGUCACCACGCCGUCAUGCUGCCGAAACUCAUCUACUACUUCGCCCGUCUUGCUGGAUCAAGAAGGCGAGGACAUCAUCGAGCUGAACGUGUGCUGAGCGCGGAGGUGCCGUAUGUUCGGUACUUGAUCGGGACCGAUCGUGAAGGUGUACGACUACAUCAAUCGCAUUGAUAAACGCUUCCGCUUUGCGAUCUUCAAGGGUAUGAAGAUGCUCUCCCCCUCUCGUUGCUAUGCAUCUCCUAGAUAGAUCUUACAUGAGCGUAGGAAACUUUUUGAAAUUGCAUGCUACAUUUCCCAAUAGUGGCAUCCGAGCCAGGUCUAUGCGUAGAUGAUAUGCACGAGUAGAACACAAAGAGUUGUGGGCGGUGAUCGACAUACUGCUUAACACUAAUGUCUUAUUUUGAUUCGAUGGUAUUGUUGGAUGAAGCGGCCCGGACCAACCUUACAUGACCACGUUCAUGAGAUCGGUUCUACCGAUAGACAUGCAACUAGUUUUGCAUAAAGGUGGCUGGCGGGUGUCUGUUUCUCCAACUUUAGUUGAAUUGAAUUUGACUGCGGCUGGUCCUUGUUGAAGGUUAAAACAGCAAACUUGAUAAAUCACCGUUGUGGUUUUGAUGCGUAUGUAAGAACGGUUCUUACUAGAAGCCCGUAGCAGCCACGUAAAACUUGCAACAACAAAGUAGAGGACGUCUAAUUUGUUUUUGCAGGGCAUGCUGUGAUGUGAUAUGGUCAAUGAAAGUGCGUUAUAUCGACUAGAGGGGGGGUGAAUAGGCGAUUUUUAUGAAUUCUUCACUGAGGAAUUCCAGGGUGAGGAAAUUCCUGAGUGAAGAACUACUUGCAGUGGAAUAAGUACUCAGAUGUAAACAUAACAGAACAUAAGCAUGGUCUUCAUGAUGAAAUGAAAACAAGCACAGAGUACAGAAAGCGUAAACACAGGAUAAACAGAAUGAAGACGGAUAAACUGAAGAAAUUGAGCUGAGGAAAUGGAGAAAGACUUCAGUCAAAGUCUUCAAACAGAUAUGAACAAGCACACAACACAGAAAUGAGGAAAUGGAAGGGUUGAGGAAAUGGAACCAGGUAGCUUGGUGAAGACAAUGAUUUGGUAGACCAAUUCCAACUACUGUGACCAUUGUACGUCUGGUUAGGGCGGCUAGGUAUUUAAACCUGAGGACACACAGUCCCGGACACUCAGUCCUGAACACGUAGCUCAGGACACUCAGUCCUCACCGUAUUCCCCUUGAGCUAAGGUCACACAGACCUCGCCCAAUCACUCGUGGUAAGUCUUCAGGUGACUUCCAAACCUUCACAGACUCGGUCACUCGGCGAUCCACACUUUCCUCUUGGAUGCUCUAGACCAUGACGCCUAACCGUCUGGAAGAUGCACAGUCUUCAAAGGUAACAAGCGCCAGAUCCGGGCAGGAUCAAUCUCUUCAGUGAUGCUCAAUCAUUUUGGGUUUGUAGGUGUUUGGGUUUGGGUUUUCCUCACUUGAUGAUUUUCACUCAAAGUCCUCGGAGGAUGGGAUGCUCUCAAAUGACAAGUGUCAGUUUUUCUCGGAGCAGCCAACCAGCUAGUGGUUGUAGGGGGCGGAUAUUUAUAGCCUAGGGAGCAGCCCGACAUGAUAAGACAUAAAUGCCCUUCAAUGAUAUGACCGUUAGGUGGGUAGAUAUUUUGGGACAGCUAGCGCAUAGCACAGCAACGGUCGGAAUUUUGAGUAGCAAAUUCCUCAGGGCUAUCAUGUUCCUCAUUGUGCAGGCAAUCCGCGCUGGCGAAUUCCUAACUCCUCAGUCAGAACAAAUUCCUCAGAGACAAGAAGAACUUCAUCUCUGUCACUGAAGAAAUUGACUGAGCUUUAUGAGAUUUCCAAUGGCUUCACUUGAAGGGAUUGGUAGGUGUAGGAUUUGAGUUGAGCAUCACAUGGAAAUUUUUCCUUAGUAUUUCCUCGACCCCCUUUAACAGUACGGUGUUUCCUAUGACUCAAGAAAGAGAAAAAGAAACUACGAAAACAAAAGUCUUCAUGCUUCAUGUUCCUCGAAUGAAUACCAAGUCUUCAGGAUUACACCAAUUUCUUCACUUUCAAAGUCUUCAGAAAUCCAAAGUCUUCAGUCGAAGAACUUCAUUUUUAGGGGUCAACUUUCUCUGUAAAUAUCAAACUCCUCAUAGACUUAUAGACCUGUGUACACUCACAAACGCAUCAGUCCCUUAACCUAUAAGUCUUCAAUACACCAAAACCACUAAGGGGCACUAGAUGCACUUAUAAUCUCCCCCUUUUUUGUGAUUGAUGACAAUAUAGGUUAAGUUUUCAACGGGGAUAAACAUAUGAAUGUAAAUACUGACAUUGAGGAAUUUGAUUGCAAGUUAUAGAAGAACUCCCCCUAAAGAUGUGCAUAAUGAGGAAUUUGCUUUUGAAGCAAUGCACACUUGAAGAGUAGAAUCAUGGAGAUCUCCCCCUAUAUCUUGUAAUUCAUACACGCAUUUAACAUAAAAUAUGAAGAAUUUGAGAUGCAUGAUGAAAUAUGGUGACUGAUGUAAUUCAGCAUGUGUGCAUUAACAUUAAUGAGGAAUAAGCAUGCAGAAAAACUCAGCAAAAGUAUCAGACUACCAUAGAGUUUAAGUUUACAACUCGAUCCAGCAAAGUCUUCAAAAGAACAAGAGUUGUAACUUAGAAAAAACGCCCAUAUAAGUAGACCCGCUUGAAGACUAACUCAAAUUUCUCCCCUUUGUCAUCGAAUGACCAAAAGGAUCAAAAAAUGAGGACUAGCGCCCCCGAGGAAUAUCAAGUUGAUGGAGGAGCGCCAGCGUUGUUGGGGUCGUUUGUUGUUGUAGGGCCUGCCGCAGUGUCGUCCAAGUCUUCAUACUCGUCGGUGUCGCAGGAUGAAGAAUAUGAUCUGGACACCAGGGAAGGAACUUUGACCUUCUUGAAUUUCUUCGCUGGAGGUGCAGACCAAUCAAAGUUCUCCUUGAGACCCAUUUGCUUCAGAUCUUUUUCACCAUACUGAUGUCAUAAGAUAGCCCAGGUGCGACCGAAAACUUCAUGGAAGUAGUAAUGGUUUUUCUUCACUGCAUUAUGUGUGGCAAUCAUGUUGUGAAGAAGAGAACCAAACUGACGCUUAACCCAUUUAUGGUUUCGAUCCACCUUCUGGUGAAGACUAAGAAGCAGCUCACGGUCAGUCAUCACCCUGGGAGCUGUGGCUUGAGGAUUUGGCUUGGAUGCAUUUGCAGCAGAAUCAUGAGUGGCAGAGUCAUCAUUGGUGGAAUAAGAUGGAGCUUUGCGAAACUGACCAUCCAAUGGACGAAUGCCUUCAUCAAUGAUAGCAGUUGCCUUGCCCUUUUCAUCAACCGAGGAAUAUGUCUGCUUGAGGACUUCAAUUGGGGGCAGGUAGCUGAGGUGAUUCUAAAAGUCAGCCUUGUAGUUUAGUGAAGACCUUGUUCCGAGGAAUCUCAUAAUCCAAGGAGCAUAAGGCUUCAACUCAAACGGAGAGAGUGCAACAUUGGCCAGAGUCCUCAUGAAGAAAUCAUGAUAAUCGACAGGAAUGCCAUGUAUGAUGUUGAAUAGCAGAUUCUUCAUGAUGCCAACAAUUUCCUCAUCAGACGAGUCGUGGCCUUUGAUAGGACUCAUUGUCCUUGUCAGAAUGCGAUAGACUGUUCUGGGCACAUAUAGCAAUUCCUUCACGAGGAAUUUGGUCCUUGGGGCUUGACCGGGCUUCAGGGGCUUCAUUAACACUUGCAUGUAAUGGGUAGUGAGUUCAGGCUCCUGGUACAGGCAACAGGCUCCUUCAAGGGGUGGACUGAUGGGCAGGGCAUGAAGUAAUUCAGAGGCUGGUGCUUUAUAGUGAGUGUUAUCGGUCAUCCAAUCCAAUACCCAAGUGUUGAUAUCAUCAGCAUCACCUGUGAUGUGCAGUGUUGCGUAGAACUGAAGAAUAAGCUCUUCAUUCCAAUCAACAAUGUCAGAGCAAAAGUUGAGGAGGCCUGCAUCAUGAAGCACACUAAGGACAGGAGAGAAGCAAGGCAGUGAUUCCAUGUCCACGUGAGGAAUAUGCUCGUGGUAGAAGACUUUAUCCUUGUUGAAGAGCAGUGAAGAAUAGAAAUUGGCUUGGCUGGCAGUCCAGAAGCGCUUCCUCCUAAGACGAGCCGAGUCAUAAGGAUUGUAGUCCGUGAAGAAUACAUGCUCGCCGAAGAAGUCAUCAGUCUUGAAUUUUUGCUUCUUCGAGAAGGGGUCCUUUGGCUUGGGCUGAGGGGUAUCGGUCAAUUGCAUCACCACCUCAGGAAUCACAAUCUCAGGAUCCACAGGCUGAGGAAUGUCAGGUUCUUCUUCAGUAGCAGCCUGGGUCUUCAAUUCUUCAUUAAAAUUUUCUUCAGCACUAGUGGUUGGAAUCUCUUCUUGUACAGACGGAGUGGCACGAGGUUCUUCAGAUCCCAUUUGUACUUCAGUAGUGACAUGGGACUGAGGAAUUUGUUGGAGGGGUGUGAACAGAAGAGAAUUGGGGUGCUGACUUUCCCAAAAGUCAUCGUUCAACACUGGAGUUGUGCAUCCAAUGUCCACAUCCUCUUCUUCAUUCAAUUCUUCAACGCCGGCCUCUUCAGCAGUAAACUGAGGCAUGGGCGAUGAGACUAUUGGGGUUGAAGGGAUUGCAUCCGCUUCAAUUUCUUCAUCCAACUGCUCUGAAGAAGCAACAAAAGGAAUGUCGUCAUCGUAUCCGCUUGGUAUCACGUAUUCUUCAUCAAAAGGUACAAGGUCCUUUGAUGGCAUGGAUGAGAUAGGAACAACAUCAAUUGGAUUUUCAAACGAGCUGGUCAGCGGCUUCAUCUUCUUCGGAGCUGAAGAAUCUGAUGCAGUUGAUACCUUCCUUUUCUUCACAGCUGCAUGCUCUGCAACCUUGGUCUUCUUCACAUCUGAUGUAGAUGGAAGGAUUGGAGUUGGUGUAGGCACAGGAGGAGCAGAGGAAUUUGGUUCAAGAUCUUCAGGCACAACUGAUGCAGUUGCCCUAACUUCUUCAUAUUCUUCAGGCACAACACUAGUGGUUGCCCUGGCAAUUUCUUCAACGGCUGGAAUGUAGUCAUCAGCCCUGGUACUAGCGUUUUCUUCAGCAGCAUGAGUAUCAUCAGCAGUUCUAGCAUUUUCUUCAUUAGGCUGAGCAGAUGCUUCAGCCUGAGGAUUUUCUGGUUGCGAUGGGGCUGCAACAUUGGAAGUGAACUGUUCAGUUAUCUUUAUAAAUCUGACUUUGGCUCCAAGCUAGUUAGCAUAGUAGCGAUCAAAUUCAUCACUCAGUUUCUUGAUCUCAGAUUGAAGAGCAACAAGUUCUUCAGGUGAAAGCUUCAGAACAUUUUGCUUCAGAAAGCGCUCUUUCUUGUACUGCGCUUCCUUCACCCUCCUUCCCUAUUCAAAUUUCCAUUUUUCUUCAUCAAUGAAGUGAGUCAGUACAUGACUUUGACCAGGAGUGAGGUUCAGCUCAGGCAGAGGUGUGUUGGGGUCCUUGUGCCAUAAGUCAAUGAAGUCCAGGAUCAACUUCGGAUCCAGCAUCAAGGGCACAUUGCUGCCUUUGGCUCUAGCGGCCCUGUGUUGCCUAUCUCUGAUGAUUUCAGUGAGUUCUUCAUCAUCAGCUUCAUCAUCUUCGGACGGUUCUUGAAAGGCGACCUGCUUCUUAUGAGGAUUUGGUCGAGAGCCUCGUCCAGCAGUGGCCUUUGUCUUCAGUGGAGAGGGCCAAUUGAUGAAUUUGGUGCAUCUGAAGAACUAGCAGAAGCUCCUGAGGCAAUAGAGAUGCUUGUUGUCCUUUGGCACGUGGCGAGAUGCACAUGUGCUGAGGAUUUUGACAGAGGAGCCGAGGACUUUGGAGGAGCUGGUGUGGCUUGAUGAAUUGGUCGUGAGGGCUUUGAAGAAUCUGGCCGUGAGGGCAUAGCUGAGGAACUUGGCCGUGAGGGCAUUGGGGUUGAAGCACUUGACUUAUGAGUAGGCUUCUUUGGCAUGGCCUUCUUUGGCUUGAUUGCAGAGGCCUCGGCAGUGGCGGCAGCAGCAGCAGAGUCUUCAUUAAAUUUCCCUACUGCUUCCUUAGCUACUUUGGCUAGCUUGGCCUGGCGCUUGGCCCAUUCAUCAGGAUAGUCCUCACCACGUUUGAGGCUGGUGGGAUCAGCUUCUUGGCCAGGUGCCAAUGGAGGUCUUGGGCAUGGAGGAUUAAGAGCGAAUUUCUUCAUAUACUUGGGAGUAACAUAUAUGUACUCCCUCCAUUCCCGUGCCCAUCUCCUCUCUAUCCUUUGUAUGCGCACCUUGCGCUGAUUUUUGUCCUCCUUGCAAUGUUUGGCCUCAUUAGGAGUGCAAUAAUCCUUGUAGAUAUCCUCAGGGAUUUCAAACGCAGUCUUGACCUCAAGCCUCUUUCCUCCUUUCUGUGGCUUCUUGCCAUCUGCCAUUUUCUUCAGUUGAGGGUUUUGAACGAUUGAGUUCUCUGAAGAGGUAUGCAACUUUUCUUCGAGGAACGCCGCAAAUGAGUUAAGUUGAUGAGAACCUAGUGAUUCAGCAACGGACAUGUGUACCUGUGAACAGAGUAUAGUUGCGAGGAAUUUGGAGAGAUCAUAUGCGUUCUCAGAAGGUUUUGCAAUAAGAACAAGUUUGAGGAAUUUAACCAGUUGAGUCUUGAAGAAUUUCACUGAGUGUUCUUUGACUUAGGUUCCAGAGUUGUGCAAAUUAAAAAUCCACACAAUUGAGGAAUCUUGAAGAAAAAUGUUGCUUAGAGAAACAUAUCAAGAACAUAUGAUAUGUGAGGUGUCCAGUGUGUGAGGAUUUGAAGAAUAAACACCUUUUGAGGAUUUGAAGAAAACAUCCGAAUCAACAAGGGUAGUAAAAUUAACUUUUAAUUACCCUAGACGAAGAACACGACGAACUGGAAAGUGUAGAUUUGAAGCUCAUCGGUUCAUAUCUUCCACGCCCUAACUUGGCUGAGGAAGACAGCUACAGCGGCGGCGGAGUGAAGAAAUCCGCGUCCGGCGUGAGUACGGCGAUGACGAGGUCGAGGCAGUGAAGCUCUUCCUCACCGGUGAUGAUGGAAGUAGUGGCGGCACUAGGGUUUGAGAGCUCGAGCAAGGGAGUGAGGUCGACCGGAGUAAAAACGAAGUGAGGAAGGGAGAGGAGUAUUUAUAGGCGAAGUGAAAAACUGGUCGCCCAAGGAAAUAGGACGAACGUGCCCCUGACCCUUCUCAUUCGCGUGACAUGUGUCACCCACGUAUUGAGAGGUGACGAUCGUGUGCGAUCGUGGGUGAAAAGGAUAAGUAUUAUCGUGGAACGUGUAACAGUUUGAGCGGCAAAGGCCGAAAAUUCAGAUAAGAUAAGUUUAAAGUUCCUUUCGCAAUUUGUUCAGCUGACAAGGACACAGUGAAGAUUUUGAACGAGUUUCAAAUAGAAUGCGCAUGAAGAAUUUGUGAAUAGACUGGGUUGAGUUUAGCAUAGAGGGGGAAGGGUCCGAUCACAUUCACUUAGCAGAACAAGCAACUUGAAGAAAUAACAAUAAGUGAAUGCUGUAGAGGAUAUAUAUAUCACUACAAAAAAAUACACUUCCGUGAUGAUACGUGUUUGUCAUAGUAGGUUGCGUUUUUUUGUCAUGCAUGUACAUCCAUGAUGAUUUUAUGACAGAAUCAAGAUAGUCAUACCUGUGCUGUCGUAGAAGUGUUCCAUGACAUUACCAAAAUUAUCAUCAUGGAAGUGUCCACUUCCAUGACAAUAAAUCACGCGUCACAGAAGUGCUUUCGUCAAGGGUGACCGACACGUGGCAUCCACCGUAACGGAACGCCGUUAAGCUAUCGGGUCGGAUUUUGGAUCCGAUAACUCGUUAACAGCCCUGACCAAUGGGAAAUUUCCACGUGUAAAAUUCUGAUUGGCCGAAGGGAACACCUGUCAGCUCGUCAGUGGGCCAGAUGUCGCCCGUCCAUUGGAGGAGACAUGCCUAUGAUACGUCGACACGUGGCUGGGCCCAACAAAGGCCCAUAUAGGUUAAAAAGGCCGGCCCAGUCAAAGGCCCGUAGAACUUAAUCAGGUACUAGUGGGCCAGCCCAAUAACAGCCUGCUUAAUAAAGGCCCAUUUAUGGCCCGAAGCCAGAUCUGGCCCGUUAAUUGUUCGCCCAAUAUUUGGGCCCAUUUACGGCCCGAAGCUAGAUCUGGCCCGUUAAUUGUUCGCCCAAUAUUUGGGCCCAUUUGCGGCCCGAAGCCAGAUCUAGCUCGUUAAUUGUUUGCCGGAUAUUUGGGCCCAACUACAGCCCAGUGACUUUCUGCCUAUUAGAGGCCUGAUGUAGACAUGGGCCCAUUUCAGCCCGGUGUGACUUUCGGCCUGGGAAUGGCCCAUGCUGCCCAUGGGCCCCAUAUAUGGUCCGACGGGACAUUGGGGCCACUAACGGCCCGUGCUAAAGGUGGCAACAAUUAAGCCCAAUGUGACUUUGGGCCUGUUAAAGGCCUGUCACGUAAUUCGGCCCGUUGAUGCCUGUGCUAAGCUUUCGGCCUCUUAAAGGCCCAUGAUAUUAGUGGGCCAACUAAGGCCCGAGAUAUGUUUUGGCCUGGUAACGGCCCGUGAGCUAACUAGGCCCAAAACGGCCCGGUCUACAUUUCGACCUGCUGAAGGCCCGUCGACGACUAGUGAAAAUUGAGGCCCAACAUGCAUUUUGUCCUGCUAAAGGCCCGUGGUUUCAUCUCGGCCAUAACAGGCCAGUACAAUAUUCAACCUGUUAAUGGCCCAACGCUACCUAGGCCAAACUAAGCACUGGGUCGACAAAAGGCCCAACUAAAAUAUAGGCCGGUGUAAGUUUGGGCCUGGCGCAAUGUGUGAAGGCCCCAAUCAUUCGGGCCCAAGAAAGACACAGGCCGGCCCAAUUGUGGCCCGCUAAAAACCUGGCCCGUUAGAGUCGAAUGUUUCGGUCCAGUCGACUACAUCUGAUUUUUUUUCAGAUAGCGAAUGAUGGCAGUAACUAGUAGGAAUUAAGAACAAACAUACUCUAUACAAUAAAGAAAUUACGGCAUAGUAACUAAGAAUAAACCUACACUAUACAAUAAAGGAUUUAAGGUAUAUUACAUCCACUAGGCAUCGAAGUUCGCCACCAGUGAUCAUAAAGCACAACGAAGAAGCAGAUUACAAAAACCGGGCACCAUUGCAGCAUAACAAAAUAAUACUGAACCGAGACCACUUCUAGGACAGUUCAAGAAAGGUUAGCCUUGCGGGGGAACUGCUGCGCAAGCUGCUGAGCAAGGCUGUGAGACCGUCCUAGCAUGUCGGUCAUAGCUUCCAGGUGUAGUUGUUUAGCGAUGAGGUUCUCAUUGGUGUUCUCCGCAAUCUUUCUUAGAGAUAGGACUUCAAGUCGAAGUUGAGUUGCAGAAUGCCUUUCUACUAGAACUUGGAACCGAAGAAGUCGAACUGAUUCAGACAACGAAUUCUGUGAGCUUGUCUGACUAUUAGUCCCAAGUAACUUGAACACUGCAUCAAGACAAGACUUUGGGGUUGUCUCGCUAUCUUCAAGAUGUUUUGCCUUCUUUGCUGCAAUAUAUGUUGGGUUUGUCUCACAGCCUUCAACAGACUUGUGCAUGCCAUCAGGCAUAUCACCCUGAAACAAAUCAGAGAGAUGACAAGUUUUGCACGUGUAUAAACAAAGAUGAUAACUGUUCUAUCAAUUCUAUCCAAUUUCAAAUUAAAAAAUAAAGAGUAAGUUGAAAAUAUCAAUAGCAUAAUUUGGCAUUGUUCAUAAUGCGGGGAGCUUCGCCACACUACUGGAUUACCAUGUCAACAUAACAAGCAUAGAUGAAGGGCAAAGAAAAUCAUUGUGUCUAUUUUGGAUAAUGUGCAUGGCAUGUUGUUCAUAUCAUCAGCCACAUUAGUAAGAUAAAACAAGAGAUGACAAGGUGCAAACAUGGGCUGCUUCACCACACACUGGAUUAUAAAUCCACAAAAGCAAGCAUACAUAUAGGGAGUAUUAAGUAAUGUGCAUGGUAUGAAUAAGGAAUUUGGUUUUACAAGUAAAACUUAGAACCUACGGUUCUUACAAACAUGCAUUUUGGUAGAAACAGCAAACUAAACAGCAGUAAACGAUAGGGAGUAUGAGAAAAUUAAACAACAGUUGAGGAUAAAGGCUUUAGAAGGACUGACUUACAUUAAUAGUUAACACCGACUUUAUAAUGCCCUUCUCCAUGUCAAGGGAAGGAUAACUCAAGAAUUUUCAGCACAUAAUCUUCUUCAUAAGCAUUGCAUGUACUCUACAUUUUGUAGAGAUUAAUUAUAGAUAUGAUAAUACUAGAAGGGAUAGAGGAUAAUGAAGAUAAGAUGCAGAUUGAUGUUACAUAAUCAACUACCAAUCCCUGGAAGUACAAGCGUUACAGGACAAAAUGUACUGACAAGAGCAAUGGGCUACACUUCUGCACUGGCAUUGUCUGUGUAUUCUACUUAUUGGUAAGAUUAAAUAUAGAUCUGAUCUUUUUUAGUAAAUGGUGGGCGAGGGAGAUAAGAUGCAGAAUGCUACAAAAUGAACCAAUCCCUCUUCCCAUAAUACAAGAGUGUUUUGAACAAUGGUGUACUGUACAAAACGUUCUUAUAUUAUGGGACGGAGGGAGUAGCUGUUAAUGUAAGUACAGUGAUAGACCACGUUCAGUCCUUAUAAGAGGACUGCAGAGCUAAACCUCUUCAAAAGCAUUGGUUUGAUUCUAAAUUUAUGUAAGAGUCCAUACGGAUCUUAUAAUGUCCACCAAAUGGACGAUUACGAGGCUAACCCAUGUGCAGUGAUGCUACAUAAUCAAACAACUAUGAAAGUAAGUAUGGUCAUAUAGGGCAAGAAGUACUCACAAGAGCAAUGUAGUGUGCAGUAUAGUUGCGAGAUUCUGUGGUCCCUUGAGACGAAUGUUCUUCUGCUAACAGUUUUCGUACAAGUGAGACAUUAAGGCAAAUGCAAAAAUGUAGUUCAAAUUGUGAUGUGAUAUCAUAGACAGUACCUUACGCUGCAGGCGAGACCAAUGUGUAACAAGAUUAUUCCAGUCACCGUCGGAUAAAUGUAGCACCGGAGACUUUAUAGAAAUUUCGUUCAGAGGCUUGCCAUCGAAGUGCGCUUGCCUCAGGUAGGAACGAUACUUCAUCAACGAGUGAUUGAAAAGCGCAACCAACCCUUGCUCAUCAUUACAAUCCAGUUUGCUCCUCGCCUAUUUAAAAGAAUGAAAUCUUGUGUCUUCUAUCAGCAGAAACAUAUGCAGUAAUGACCAUGAAUAACAUUAGUACAUUACUUACGCGUAAGUUGCGGAGGAAGACUAGAAAUUGUUCUGUGUCUGCGGUAUAAUCUUUCCAUGAAGGAAAUAUGCGCACAAAGUUCCUAACAACAACAUAAGCUUCUUCUUCUAAACUAGGAAGAAAUGGAACAGGGGUCCUAUUUGCUGCAAUUGGGGCUCUCUCUGGUUCGAAAAGGGAUUUGACAACUGGAUUUGGUGUACUCUUUGCUGGAAUGGGGGUUUUGCGUCGUACAGCUGGUGCUAUGUCAACUGGCAUAAUCAUACUGUUUGUUGCAGUUGGGGUCUGCUGAGUUGGGGCAUCAGAAAUGACCAGUGUAGUAGGGCUAGAGUCUGCUAGAGUUGGGGUAUUUUGUGGGUCAGGUGAUAUUGCAACUACACCUAAUGGGCUAUUUGAUUUAUCAAGUGCCACUACUUUUUCCAAAUACUUUGCUUGUGCUCCUCCACGAUCAGCAAUCGCCCUCUUCCUUUUGAACGUCUGAUACACAAGAACAACAUUUGAAUGGAUAAAUAUGGUAUGAUGACAGAUGGAAUAUGUACUAAAAAUGGAUAGGCAGGGCGUAUUCACAUACACGAUGUGUAAACUAAGCUAAUGGCAGUUCAACAAAGUAGAAGCAAUGCAAAGCAUCAGUUGCAAGAUAUGUGCGAGCAAUGUAACCUUGGAAAGUUAGAGCAAGUACCUUGAUGGGUGAAUAAGAUAGGGCAUCUUCCUCUGACUCCUCCACUAGGGAGCUACAUUGACUUAGGUCCCCCUCUAGCUCAGAAUCACUGUUAGGAUCAUAUUCUGAGCAUGAAUCGGUAGGUGGAGAGCGUUUGCAUUGCAUUGCAUCCAGACUUGAUUUCAGUCCCUCAAUGCCAAGUUUGAUAGCCAUGGCAUUGUUCUGCUUUAUUCUUUUCAUGCGCGCAAGCUCAUAAUCUUUAUGAUGCUUUUCAGAAUCUGAGAUUCAUGAAAACAUAAAAAGUAGUCAGAUUAUCUAUGGAAUGCAUUGCGGAUUCAACUCAGAGAGUGUCUCCCUAUAAACCCCUGCAUAUGCAAAGUUCACCUCCCCAACCAUGCUGACCAGACCACACACAGAAAUACAAAUCCCUUAUGUCUCUAUAACAGGCAGGCACACAUUUCAAAACUGAAGUAGGAACAUUAGAAUCAUAUGAAAUUCGUAUUUGAACAAAUAAACUAAGCAAUUAUGAGUGGCGUAAUGUUUAGCUUCAAGGGUGGAGUGUUGGUAGUGCGACACAAAGCAAGUAGGCAGAUUGUAUUCCAUGUAAAAGAUCGAAACCUAUGUAAAAGCUGGAAAUGACACUUUGUUUCUAUACAAUGCAGUGUUUGUUACCCACACAUGAUGGAAGAGAUCACAUAGAGAAAUGCUAUUCACUCAUGUCUACGGUUCCAGUAUUUAGAAACAGGGUGGUCCACCCUAAAAUAAUAUUGACAACAAAUAUGACAAGGCAAGCAUAGAUGUAGUGAAUCAAUCAUUUACUUGUGAGCUUACUAGGACAGGUAUGCAGAAUUGUAACUACAGUAAGAGACCGUCCAAAAUCUGAAUGAAGAAGUUUGUCUAGCACUUAUUGUUUGCAACUAAUCGACGUGAAUAAUUGGAUAUUAUAUCGAAUGAGUAAGAAAGACAAGUAAAAUUGUCAACAAACCUGGCUUGCAGUAGUAAUAUGGGUUAAUGUCACUACGACCAACAAUCCAAAAUGACUAGUUUCUGUUCCGAGGGCCGGAAUUUUGAAAACCCUGUGAACUUUAGAGGUACUAAAGAUUACCGAAAUACAUCUGAACCAUUAAGUGUAGGUAGCACUGAGCACACAACAAACCCUAAUGACAGUCCUGCCUAAUGAGUAAUGAAUCAAUUAGAAAAUGGGUGAUGAGGAGUGGCUGCUGAGUGUUGAGGAUGUAUCUCAGGAUAAAUCAGGUUGGCUUGGUGGGUGCUGCAUGCCUGAGCCCUGAACGGACUGGGAAGGUAGGCACGGCGGCGUGCCCGGGCAGCGGUGACGCUGUUGGGCGAGCGACUCCUGGCCUCCUGUUAGUCCGGCGUCUCCUCCUAGAGUCAUGCCGUAUGGGGACGGCAAGUCGCCGGCGAGGCAGGCGGCUGGGGGCGAGUAGAGAUCGGAAGCACGCAAUAGAACAGAGAGGAAUCGGGGCCUGGGACGACCCAAAAUCCCACGUUGGGCCGUCCCACCGUGGGCACCCUGUAGAGAUACACACCUGAGCGUCGAACAUGCAUUUUUGAAACUAAUUUAGGAUCAUUUAGCUAACCAAUUAAACAACUCUGUUUUAAUAAUAUCAGAUUCGUAUUUGAACAACUAAGCUUGUUUAGCUUGAUGGGUGGAGCAGUGUUAUUAUGACACGAAGCAAGUAUUCUGAUCGUAUAGUGAUCAUAAAAGGGGGAAACUCUAAGAAUAUUUUUUUAGCAAAAGAGGGUUUCCCCUCUGAUUUCUAUUAAAGAAACCACCACGGAACCAACAUGAUCAAUUAAACCCUAAGCAUGAUCAAUUAAACCGUAUUAUGGCUGUGCCAUGGCAGAUUUGAAGCUGCAAACCGGAGAAAUGAUAUUUAGCAUCCAUUGUUUGCUUCGAACUAAGAACUAAAUUCUAAGAGCUGAAAAGAAAGUAGAGUAACCAAGUUAAGAUCUAUUUUUUGGUUGAGGUCAAAAAGUUGAGGAGAUAUGAAGUACCACCUCUCUUGCGGCACCGUGUAGGCAUCGGGGGUGUGAUGGCUGUCGGUGGCGUUGAAGCAGAUCUGCGACGGUAGACAGGUGCAUCGGGGGAUAAGUCUAGUUGCGGUGGAAGAGAAGGUCGUGUGAGCGGCCCCGACAAAGAGGACGACGACGCCGAUGAAGCGAGAGGACGCGAUGCAAGGCUAUUGGUCCGUCGCCGUGGAUGAGAAACGUCCAUCUCUAGCAGUGGACGAUGCGGUCUUGGUAGGUGCUCCGGCAUGGUGGAGGACGGUGGCGAUGGAUGUGGUGGAGGACGGCGGCGAUGGAUGGGGUGGCGGACGGAGGCUGGUGUGGGGAUGGGGUGUUCUAGCGCGGACGGUGUAUGAAUGGGAAAAUGGAGGGAGAGGUACGGGGAACCAUGUUUUUGGGACGGGCCUGUCUGAAAUAUGGGAAAGUUACGAACUUAGCCCCCGUUUAAUAUUUGGACGUCUUGUCGGUUGGGGAUAGGACGGUAACCUCGCAUCUCGCCAAUAUUUGCCCAGAGCGAUUUCGGGCGAGGAGAGGGUGGUUGGCGCCCAUGGUUGGCGCACACGGUGUAUGAACAGGGCUGACAGAUAGGGCGGUUGUGUCACGUCUGAGUGAAGUUACAAACCUGCCCCUACUGAAAAUAUUUGCCUACAUCGAUUUCGGCCGAGUCGAGUUUGUUUUGCCGCCCCUCGUGUAUGAAUGGGGAAUGGAGGGAGAAACAGAGGUCUUUCGGACGAACUUGAAUCAAAUGAGUUUUGCCGCCCAUGUUUGACGCCCACAGUGUCGGAAUGGGCUCAGAGGCGGUCGUGUCACAUCUAAUUGAAGUUACUAACCUACCCCUAUUUAGAGCAGUGGAAAUCGGGCUGAUGGAUUGUCCGUGUAAUGGGUAGACAGUAAUUUCCAUCUCCCAAACACUUGGCUUCGAGCAGCCGACGUGGUAGUGGACAUUUUGCUUUUUCUUCCGAAUUUUGGGACAAUAAGCAUCCACAUUUACCCUGGCAACUAAAUUCGAAUCAAUUUUGUAUUCCUAUAUGAAUCUUUAUAAAUCAUUCUAUGUGUUUUUAUAUAUCUUCAAAAGGACAACAAAGAUGUAUUCCACUGUCAUAUAUGAAUAUGGUUUACAAAUGCCGAUACUCAAAUUCAGAAACUAGAAUCCAGUUUAAGGUGAUUUCGAAUAUUUGGAACACUUCAUGUCCAACUCAAAUGUCACACGCAACAUAAUGUGUACUCCCAUUUAGAUAUGUACACAAGCGAUGCAUCAAGAUUCAAAUACCGAGUCAAUCAACCAAUAAUGUAUAGAACUAACAGACAUAUAAACACUUAUAGAGUAUAUGGAUCAAUAAUAUCAACUAACAUACAUAAGCCAGGCCGCUGUACUUUCUUUGGCUACAACAGCAUCCUUUUUUUAGCCAGCAUCUUGGCCCUUUCCGAUGCGUGCCACUUAUGGUCCAUCUAUACUACUACUAUUGUUGAAUGCACAUUCAGCCCGAUUGGCAUAUUUGUAGGUCUGGCACAACAAUCCAAAUGAAAUGUCUCCGAGUCUUAUCAAUUAAUACAAACUUGUGCUCAAAUAAAAUUACAAACCAAAAAACAAAAAAACAAUUAUUACAUGAUCUCUAAAACAAAUGGUUUGAUUGAUUACAUGAACAGACAACACAAAGGUUAUUCAACUAUGGAAAGAACAUUUCACCUAUGAUUUACCAUGUAGGAAUUUAAUUUCCUUUUUUCCUUCAGGACCUUAACAAUCUAGUCAGUCUCAGCUUGCUUCGUUUUGAUAUCCACCAAAUAUUUAAUGGUUGUCUUGAGUACUGCUUGUUAUUGUGCUGUUUGCUUCCUCAACAUGUCAACUUCAUCUCUAAGUGCAGAAGCAGAAUCUCUUUCUACCACUAGUUUAGCCUCUAGAGCAUCAGCAGUUGGCAAUUCAUAAUGCACGAUUGGGCCGGUGCCACUGCUGUGGGAUGAUGAAACGUCCAUGAGGACCUCGCUCUUUGAUCUUGGGCUAACCUUUUUUGCCAUUAAAGUUCCGAUUGGAUUCAGAAAAGUUGAAGUUCGCAAAACAUCUCAACUGGGAGUUAUAACAACAAACCAGUUAAACAAACAAGGAAUUAAAGAGUUUCAAUUGGAUGCUGAAAAGUAGUUAUUAACAUCAUUGUAACCCGCUGUUGCAGUAGCAAAGCAGUUAAACAAACAAGUAGAUAUUUAAGUUAAGGCAAACAGGUAAUUCUUAACAGUAAGUAUCAAACACAUAGAUAGGCGCAGUCUACAAUAUGAUUAACAGGAUGUGCCAUUAUGUAAUCAGUAGCAAACUAAAUUAAGCCACGCAACGUAAUUGAACAAUUUUGCAAUAAGUGGCUAAGUAAAAUUCUGAGAAGCAGGUAACUGAACUUACUCUAGUUCUUUGUACAGGCACACUGCAACUUCUUUUUCGCUUACAAGGUUGUACGAAGGAGUCCAUGGCAUCAAUUGCUUGGAUACGUAGUCCCAAUACUUCUUUCUUCCCACACUGCAUGGGUAAGUCGAAUGGUUAAUCUGGUAAGAUGGUGCGUCCUUGAUAUGUUAUAUGAGGACGUGUAGUCAGACUAGUUGUAGCCAAACACAUCACACUGGCUUUUACUGUAUAUUUCAUGCGAUUACUUUUGGCAUAUCGAGACCUAAGCAAUCUACAAUAGGAUAAAAAGACUGGCAUCCUUCACAUUAUUAACGAACUCAGUUCAUAGAAAUAAGCAAUUCAACCAUUCUGUGGGUAAAUCAAAAGCGCCACUGGAAUAUUUUUCACUAUCCAAUCAUACACGCAAAAAGGGGCGACGCCACCAUAGGGGCUGGUAUGUGCGGCCGCCUCAGGUGGCUGGAA